UCCUUGUUUACGGGUCAAAAAUUCCGUUGAACCGGUUCUCGGUGGAAGAACCGAAUGUUCCGGUUGCUUCCCUUCUCACAGGCGGUUCGCUGUGCGCCGUCCGCCCGGCUCGGAUCGGCCGGAGUCCAGUCCCGAUGAAUCGAACUGUCGUCUCCACCUCCCUCUCUGCCCGGUUCUUCAGUUGAUACGCAGCGGAUCGAGGAGUAUUACGUCGCGGAAUCGACUGUUUUAGAAUCGAUUCUCCUCUUCGACCUUGACUCGCUGGGAUGGGGAGGUGGAGGGGGUCUAGGCGAUUCAUAGAACCGAUCGGUGGAGCAGUUCCAGUUUUUGAUUCUUCCCUCCAGGUGCUACAGCGAAUUGUAUGUAUAACCGGAUCAAUUAGUGCAAGGGUUCACAGAUGUUACCGGCUCUGUUGCUUGCGCUUCAUAGGAUGAUUGGUUCCUCUAUCGCUGAUUUCUUCGAGGAUAACAGGACUGUAUGUCAUGACGAAUAUGUUUCAUUCUUCUCUUUUGUCCACCUUCUUCAUCAUCAUAGUGUUCGAAAUGCGAACAGACAAGGAGACAAAGAAGUCUCUAGUCUCUACAGGAAAGGUUCAAAUUCUAGGAAGCUUGGAGACCGGCAGCCAUCUCUCGGAAAGAUUCCUCCUCGUCUGAGUGCUCUUCUUAAAAGGCUGAUCUACUCUAACUGUAUGUUUUGUGCAACUAGUGACUAUAGAAUUUUCAGAAUGGAGAGUAUAAAUCCUACUUGCUGAGUUUCGUUUCUGUCGAAAAGGAAAAUAUAUGGAUUUUUUUCACGAUA